rnacentral:rRNA from 1 species
UACGGAGGGUGCAAGCGUUAUCCGGAUUCACUGGGUUUAAAGGGUGCGUAGGUGGAUUAGUAAGUCAGUGGUGAAAUCUCCGGGCUUAACCCGGAAACUGCCAUUGAUACUAUUAGUCUUGAAUACCGUGGAGGUCAGCGGAAUAUGUCAUGUAGCGGUGAAGUGCUUAGAUAUGACAUAGAACACCAAUUGCGAAGGCAGCUGGCUACACGAGCAUUGACACUCAGGCACGAAAGCGUGGGGAUCAAACAGG